rnacentral:lncRNA from 1 species
GUGCUUCUUAGCAGCCUUCUGGAAGAGAUCUCGCAGGUCUGCUUUCUGCGGGGCAGAAGUAAAGGGGUGAAGAGUAGCCCUGGCCCUCCAGGCAGACAGGAGGCAGAGGGGGCACCUCACCCGACGACUGUGACCCCCACAUGGGCAGAGGACACUUACUGUGUGGGACCCCUCCAUCAUGGCCUGCACAAAGGCUGUGGACUCGCUGGUACAGGAACGCACAGUCUCAGUCCGUCCCUCCCGGAACAUUCUGGUCAUUGAGGCCUCAUAGGUCAGGCAGAACUUACCCCUGUCCUGGGAUAUACAGAGGGGUGAAUCUGGCAGGUGGACCCUGGUACCACCCUGCCCUCUCAGCAGCGGGAGGCGGGGCUCCUACCCGGAAGUGAGCCAGCUGCAGCGCGAUCUGCACAAAGGCAUCAGGGCUGGUCCGGCACUUCUUGAUGAGGCCUUUGCCAAAGGGCAGGAACUGGAAGCAGUACAACUCCACGUCGUCUGCCAACGCCUUGGCCACCUGGUAGGAACUCUCGAUGACCGCCUGGCACUGCCAAGACAUGGGAAGGGUCAGCUGAGGGUAGGGCUCUCCAAGCAGGACUCUGGGUCAUGUCUAGGAGGCAUGACGUUUAGCUGGUGGAGAAAGGGCACAGCCGGCCAAGACAUCUUCAGGAGGAGGGUACGCAAAAGACAGUCUGAGGGAGAAUCAGCCCCCAGAGGCCGGGCUCAGCUUUGUGGGUAAGAGGGAAGUGCUGAAAAUGCUCCAGGGGCCUGUGAGUGCCUCCUCCAUCUCAUGGCUGUCUCUAAACACAGAUGGCCCCAGGGGCGGUGGGUGGUCUCUGUCCUCCCUGAAGCCAGUUUGGACUCUACAGGUAUCCUGAGACGUGCCCUGUGCCUUCCCGAGGGCUGGGCCAGGCAGUGAGGCCAGCAGGGGAGGAGGAGGCUCAGGCCUCGUCGGGGCUGUACCCACCUGCUGCUUUGUGGUCUCACACCUGCUCUGGGAGCUUCCAACCCACCUGUUUUGGAAUGUCCCACUGCAGCCGUGUAGGAGGUGCGAGCGCAGGGUUCGGUUUGCCCAGGCAGUGCCCGGUCUCCGUGUAGCCCAGGUGGAAGCUGUCUGUGCCCAGGACAAACUGCAGGGAGAGGAUGAGACUGAGAGGCUGGCCUCAUCCCCUACAGCCUGCCCUGCAGGUUCCCUCUGCAAGGCUAUUACCUCCCAGAGGUGCCCAAUGAUGGGAGCAUCUGCCCACGCAUGCUCUGCAUUGAGACCCAACUGGCCAUUCUUGAAGGAAAUGAGAGUGAAGGAUUUGUCAAACCACCUGCAGGAAGAGUAGACACAUGAAGAACCAAAGCUGGGAAUGUCCAGAGGUGCCUGACCUGCAACCCCAACCUUUAACCCUAAUUACUAACCCUAUUCUCUCUCUCUUUUUCUCUCACUUUUUUUUUAAAUUGAGAUGGAAUCUU